GAGAAAACAAGGUGUAUAUAUAUGUGCUGUAACUGCAAUGGUCUACAUAAAUCGAGACUUAAGUUUGACUGGGAUGAUUUCUGUAACUUACUAAGGAAAGCAGCAAGCUUUUCUGUUUCUACUAUGCCGCAACACCCAGGUAAAGUUAACUGUGAAGAUUGAAGUCAACAAUGGGUGAAGUCACCACAGUGUUAUGAAGCAUACAUAGAUAUCAUUGACAGGUGUUAGGAAGACGAACCUCAUGAACGGCCAACAAUGGGUGAAGUUGAGAUGCAACUUGAGCAUGCUCUUACUUUGCAACAGGAAGCAGACAACCACAUAUACUAGUGAUGAUAUCUCUCAUUAUUCACUACCAUUACCCAACCAAAACAAUAAGAGGCUCAAAUUUCAGCUUAGAAUUAGGGAUGGCAAAGUGGGCUGACCCGCCCCGCCUGCAUGUAGCCCGCCAUAAACGGGACGGGUUGGGCUGGCCCGCCAAAAAAAGUAGGCUCUCAAUCCUAGCCCGCCCCGCUAAAGAACGGGCUGGCGGGUUAGAGGGCUAGCCCAUGAGCCACUAUGUUAAGGGAAAAAAAUAAUAUUUUUGGUAAAAAAUCUGAAAUACAAAGUUUCAAUAUAA